AACGAACGCUGGCGGCAGGCCUAACACAUGCAAGUCGAGCGGGACCUUCGGGUCUAGCGGCGGACGGGUUAGUAACGCGUGGGAACGUGCCCAAAGGUACGGAAUAGCCUCGGGAAACUGAGAGUAAUACCGUAUGUGCCCCUCGGGGGAAAGAUUUAUCGCCUUUGGAUCGGCCCGCGUUGGAUUAGGUAGUUGGUGGGGUAAUGGCCUACCAAGCCGACGAUCCAUAGCUGGUUUGAGAGGAUGAUCAGCAACACUGGGACUGGGACACGGCCCAGACUCCUACGGGAGGCAGCAGUGGGGAAUCUUAGACAAUGGGGGAAACCCUGAUCUAGCCAUGCCGCGUGAGCGAUGAAGGCCUUAGGGUUGUAAAGCUCUUUCAGAUGGGAAGAUAAUGACGGUACCAUCAGAAGAAGCCCCGGCUAACUCCGUG
rnacentral:rRNA from 1 species